rnacentral:rRNA from 1 species
GACGAACGCUGGCGGCGUGCCUAAUACAUGCAAGUAGAACGCACAGUUUAUACCGUAGCUUGCUACACCAUAGACUGUGAGUUGCGAACGGGUGAGUAACGCGUAGGUAACCUGCCUGGUAGCGGGGGAUAACUAUUGGAAACGAUAGCUAAUACCGCAUAAUAUUGAUUAUUGCAUGAUAAUUGAUUGAAAGAUGCUAUUGCAUCACUACCAGAUGGACCUGCGUUGUAUUAGCUAGUAGGUGAGGUAACGGCUCACCUAGGCGACGAUACAUAGCCGACCUGAGAGGGUGAUCGGCCACACUGGGACUGAGACACGGCCCUGACUCCUACGGGAGGCAGCAGUAGGGAAUCUUCGGCAAUAGACGAAAGUCUGACCGAGCAACGCCGCGUGAGUGAAGAAGGUUUUCGGAUCGUAAAGCUCUGUUGUAAGAGAAGAACGGGUGUGAGAGUGGAAAGUUCACACUGUGACGGUAUCUUACCAGAAGGGGACGGCUAACUACGUG